rnacentral:tRNA from 1 species
UAUAUUUAGUUGUUUCUGCAUAUAAAUUUUUGAAAUUUAAGGUAUUAAUUUAAAAAUUAAUAAAUAUAA